rnacentral:lncRNA from 1 species
GCAAAAGUCACGGGCUAUAGGUGGAGAGUGUGGUUUUAGCUUCCUCUGACAUGCAUCGUGGAUUCCAAGCUUUCCUCCACUUCUUCUCCUGUGACUUUUGGGUGUGCUGUGUGGGUACUCAGAGCUUGAGUUUCCUUUUGUGCAGAACAAGUCAGUGCAAGAGCAGAUCACAUGACAAGUAUUCAAUUAUUGCUAGCAGCUCUCGGGGACAAUUUCAAGCUAAAAUAGACAAUCAAUCAUUCAAGCAAUAUUUCACUCACUGCUUCUGCUGAGACCUACAUCACUAAGGCUUUCCACUGAGUGGGGCAUUCCCUCAGAGGAUGCCACAUAUCUCAGAGCUAUAGUUUUGUCCCUAUUUGUCGUACAAGGAAAGUGAGCCCCAGAGUGGAACAAGAUGACUUGGGAAGAGCACAC